rnacentral:rRNA from 1 species
GACGAACGCUGGCGGCGUGCUUAACACAUGCAAGUCGAACGGGUCUGCCCUGUUUUUUGCGGGGUGGGUCAGUGGCGAACGGGUGAGUAACACGUGAGUAACCUGCCCCUCACUUCUGGAUAACCGCUUGAAAGGGUGGCUAAUACGGGGUGUUCUGGCUGUGCCGCAUGGUGUGGCUGGGAAAGAUUCACUUUUGUGGUGUUUUGGUGGGGGAUGGGCUCGCGGCCUAUCAGCUUGUUGGGGGGGUGAUGGCCUGCCAAGGCUUUGACGGGUAGCCGGCCUGGGAGGGUGGGCGGUCACACUGGGACUGAGAUACGGCCCAGACUCCUGCGGGAGGCAGCAGUGGGGGGUAUUGCACAAUGGGCGGAAGCCUGAUGCAGCGACGUCGCGUGAGGGAUGGAGGCCUGCGGGUUGUGAACCUCUUUCGCCGGUGAAGAAGGUCCUGCUCUUUGUGGUGGGGUUGACGGUAGCCGGGUUAUGAAGCGCCGGCUAACUACGUG